CUGUAUACCAAGAUGUCUCAAGUUACUAUUCUGUGCCUUUUUGCCGUCGUCGUUGCCAUUGUGGCACAAGAAACAACACCACCAGCUGCAACCACUUCCAAGAGUUUCUUCUGUAAUGAUGACCAGGAUUGUGACCGCCACUGCUCGGGGUACCGCGGCUUCUGUAGCAAGGACGACCACAUGUGCCACCACUGCGAAGCGCCCACUCAAACUUCCUGUACAUCCGAAAUAGACUGUUUGCUGAGUUGCCGCCAUAACCAUGAGCUAUUCGGGAUUUGCCAUCGUGAUGGAACCUGCAGAUGCUCUCACUUCGGAUGAAAACGAUGACGGAAAUGACGUCAUGUGGUGAAGCCGCUGAUUCUUUGAUAUUAUUUUGCAAACUCCAUGCUAUCAAUAAAUUCUGAGCUUAUUACAAGUCACUGUGCCCUGCC